GGGAAAAGCUCAAAUUUAAAAUCUGGCAGUCUUUGGCUGUCCGAGUUGUAAUCUAGAGAAGUGUUGCCCACACUGGACCGUGUAUAAUCUUCUGGAAUGAAGCGUCAUAAGGGUGAGAAUCCCGUCUUUGACAUGGACUUCCCAGUGUGUAGUGGCGUGCUCUCAAAGAGUCGAGUUGUUUGGGAAUGCAGCUCUAAAUGGGUGGUAACCUCCAUCUAAAGCUAAAUAUUGGCGAGAGACCGAUAGUGAACAAGUACCGUGAGGGAAAGAUGAAAAGAACUUUGGAAAGAGAGUUAAACAGUACGUGAAAUUGUUGAAAGGGAAACGCUUGAAGUCAGUCACAUUGGCUAGGGAUCAACCCAGCUCUUUUGUUGGGUGUACUUCCUGGUUUGAUGGGCCAAUGUCAGUUUUGACUGCUAGAGAAGGGCAGAGGGAAUGUGGCACCUUCCGGGGUGUGUUUAUAGCCUUUUGUCAUAUAUAGCAGUUGGGACUGAGGAAUGCAGCGCGCCUACAAGGCCGGGUUUCGACCACGUUCGCGUUUUGGAUGUUGGCAAUAAUGGCUUUAAUCGACCCGUCUUGAAACACGGACCAAGGAGUCUAACAUAUCUGCGAGUGUUUGGGUGGAAAACCCGAGCGCACAAUGAAAGUGAAAGUUGAGAUCCUUGUCAUGAGGAGCAUCGACGCCCGGACCUGAGCUUUUAGCAAUGGAUCUGCGGUAGAGCAUGUAUGUUGGGACCCGAAAGAUGGUGAACUAUGCCUGAAUAGGGCGAAGCCAGAGGAAACUCUGGUGGAGGCUCGUAGCGAUUCUGACGUGCAAAUCGAUCGUCGAAUUUGGGUAUAGGGGC
rnacentral:rRNA from 1 species